AGAGUUUGAUCAUGGCUCAGAUUGAACGCUGGCGGAAUGCUUUACACAUGCAAGUCGAACGGCAGCACGGGAGCUUGCUCCUGGUGGCGAGUGGCGAACGGGUGAGUAACAUAUCGGAACGUAUCCAAUAAUGGGGGAUAACUAGUCGAAAGAUUAGCUAAUACCGCAUACGCCCUGAGGGGGAAAGCUGGGGAUCGUAAGACCUGGCGUUAAUGGAGCGGCCGAUAUCUGAUUAGCUAGUUGGUGGGGUAAAGGCCCACCAAGGCGACGAUCAGUAGCUGGUCUGAGAGGACGACCAGCCACACUGGAACUGAGACACGGUCCAGACCCCUACGGGAGGCAGCAGUGGGGAAUUUUGGACAAUGGGCGCAAGCCUGAUCCAGCCAUUCCGCGUGAGUGAAGAAGGCCUUCGGGUUGUAAAGCUCUUUCGCAAGGGAAGAAAACUUACUUUCUAAUAAAGAGUGAGGUUGACGGUACCUUGAUAAGAAGCACCGGCUAACUACGUGCCAGCAGCCGCGGUAAUACGUAGGGUGCGAGCGUUAAUCGGAAUUACUGGGCGUGAAGCGUGCGCAGGCGGUCUUGAAAGUCAGAUGUGAAAUCCCCGGGCUCAACCUGGGAACUGCGUUUGAAACUCCAAGACUAGAGUAUGGCAGAGGGGGGUAGAAUUCCACGUGUAGCAGUGAAAUGCGUAGAGAUGUGGAGGAAUACCAAUGGCGAAGGCAGCCCCCUGGGUCAAUACUGACGCUCAUGCACGAAAGCGUGGAGCAAACAGGAUUAGAUACCCUGGUAGUCCACGCCCUAAACGAUGUCUACUAGUUGUUGGGAGAGUAAAAUCUCUUAGUAACGCAGCUAACGCGUGAAGUAGACCGCCUGGGGAGUACGGUCGCAAGAUUAAAACUCAAAGGAAUUGACGGGGGCCCGCACAAGCGGUGGAUUAUGUGGAUUAAUUCGAUGCAACGCGAAAAACCUUACCUGGCCUUGACAUGUACCGAAUUUGGCAGAGAUGCCUUAGUGCUCGAAAGAGAGCGGUAACACAGGUGCUGCACGGCUGUCGUCAGCUCGUGUCGUGAGAUGUUGGGUUAAGUCCCGCAACGAGCGCAACCCUUGCCAAUAAUUGCCAUCAUUUAGUUGGGCACUUUAUUGGGACUGCCGGUGACAAACCGGAGGAAGGUGGGGAUGACGUCAAGUCCUCAUGGCCCUUAUGGCCAGGGCUUCACACGUAAUACAAUGGUCGGUACAGAGGGUUGCCAACCCGCGAGGGGGAGCUAAUCUCAGAAAGCCGAUCGUAGUCCGGAUUGAAGUCUGCAACUCGACUUCAUGAAGU
rnacentral:rRNA from 1 species